GAUGAACGCUGGCGGCGUGCCUAAUACAUGCAAGUCGAGCGAACGGACGAGAAGCUUGCUUUUCUGAUGUUAGCGGCGGACGUGUGAGUAACACGUGGAUAACCUACCUAUAAUACUGGGAUAACCUCGGGAAACCGGAUCUAAUACCGUAUAAUAUUUUGAACCGCAUGGUUCAAAAGUGAAAGACGGUCUUGCUGGCACUUAUAGAUGCAUCCCCGCUGCAUUAGCUAGUUGGUAAGGUAACGGCUUACCAAGGCAACGAUGCAUAGCCGACCUGAGAGAGUGAUAGGCCACACGGGAACUGAGACACCGUCCAGACUCCUACGAGACGCCGCAGUAGGGAAUCUUCCGCAAUAGGCGAAAGCCUGACGGAGCGACGGCGCGUGAGUGACGAAGGUCUUCGGAUCGUAAAACUCUGUUAUUAGUGAAGAACAUAUGUGUACGUAAAUGUGCACAUCUUGACGGUAACUAAUCAGAAAGCAACGGCUAACUACGUG
rnacentral:rRNA from 1 species